AGUGAACGCUGGCGGUAGGCCUAAUACAUGCAAGUCGAACGGCAGCACAGUAAGAGUUUGCUCUUACGGGUGGCGAGUGGCGGACGGGUGAGGAAUACAUCGGCAUCUACUUUUUCGUGGGGGAUAACGUAGGGCAACUUACGAUAAUACCGCAUAUGAUCUACGGGUGAAUGCAGGGGAUCUUCGGAGCUUUCGCGACUGAAUGAGCUGAUGCCGGAUUAGCUAGUUGGCAAGGUAAAGGCCUACCAAGGCAACGAUGCGUAGCUGAUCUGAGAGGGUGAUCGGCCACACUGGAACUGAGACACGGUCCAGACUCCUACGGGAGGCAGCAGUAGGGAAUAUUCCGCAAUGGGCGCAAGCCUGACGGAGCAACGCCGCGUGAGUGAUGAAGGCCUUCGGAUCGUAAAACCCUGUUAUUAGGGAAGAAAAAAUGUGUAAGUAACCACGCACGUCUUGACGGUACCUAAUCAGAAAGCCACGGCUAACUACGUG
rnacentral:rRNA from 1 species